AAGUGUCUGCUCAUUUAGCAGAACAAAAUGAAACUGGCUAACCUAAUGAGGGGUUAUAUAUUACAAUGAGAAAAGGAAGAAACGUCCAUGCUAAUUCAUCAUAUAUUCUAAUACACUUCAGCCACAGAAUAAAGAAACCAUGCCAGUUGCUGCUACUGCAGACAGAGAGCGAAGAAAUCCUCUACGAGCCCCAUGGGUUUACAGAAGUCUAUCCAUCACUCUGUCAGUCUUCCGGAUCAUUAUUCAAGUUGCUAUCCCCAAUUUUGCUGGAUAUAUCAGAUCAACUCCAGCUCCAUAGAUGGACAGUGUGUUUUCUUCCUAUUUUUAAAGACCGCAAAGAGGAAAACUGAUGAAUAUUAUAAGGACACACUGGAAAGUGCAUUGUUACUAUGGCAAUAAAAAAGAGAACAAAUGUCA
rnacentral:lncRNA from 1 species